GUCCUGAACAAAACUGCCCGCACGAACCCACGACCUUCGCUACUCCUCCUCUGCUACCCACGCCUCCCGCAGAUCCCCCGCUCGGCCGCUCCCCGCAGAUCCUCUGCUGCCCCACGGACGCGACCGCGGACUGCCGCCGCCGAUGAUCCCAUCUGAUGGCGGCACCGACCCAUCCCUGGCACUGGAUGCGGUGACCUCCGGCAGAGGCGCGCCCGGCCACGCCUUCCCCAGCACAGUCUCGCCGGGCUGCCUCCGCUCCUCCGGCAGCGCCGCGCCCGUUCGCCGCAGCCCGCCGGCGAGGGCACAAUCGAUGCCGACCUGCACGCGCAAGGGGAGGCGGCAGGAGCAGUCGUGCAAGGGCAGGACCAGCCGUGCGGUCAAUCGAGCAAUCCUUUUGCAUCUUGGCCGCCAUGUCCCCCGCCGUCGACGACGCCCGCUGUGGCGAUCUCCGCCCUGGCGACCAGCUCUGCCUCGCCUGCCAAAUCAAAUUUACGAACUAAGGUUGAUUUCUAUGACUUCAGUUCGCUGGUGGUACUGGCAUAACGCUUAUGUUGCAGGCUUCUCCAGAAUGAUUCCUCAUAAGAGAUAUCUCAACCAGUCAUAAGUUAGCCUGAAGACAUAAGGUGCAGAUAUUCUUCCUUGGUAUAAGAGAUACUUUCAACUAAUCACACGUGCAAUGUUACAUUUGAGUAAGGGAUUACCAUAUUCUCUGAAUUUUCUACCCGACAGAUAUGUUCAACUAUAUUUAGAGUAUUCUGAUAAAGGGUUUACCCCCGCUUUAUAUUAUAAAGCAUCCGGAUAUUUAGAGUAUUAUACAUCUCUAAUCUGCAUAUUUGAGACCAACAUGAUAAUGUUCCAUACUUCUUAAGCCAUUUUGGUGCCACCUAUUGUACCAUCAUUUUUUGCUUCAGGUAUUGUCCUCAUUUCCAAACAAUUCCAUUGUCUUCGCUUCUCUACUCACAUGUGUUUUUUAGUCUUCCUCUCACUCUUUUGAGCUUCUAUAGAACUGAUGUCUGACUGCUAUGUUUACCCUUCUGAAUAAUACCCUUAUCAAGUUUUCAGCUUUUAAUGUAAAACUGUAACCAAUUACCGAAAUUUUGGAGUUCUUUUUCACCUUUUCUUGUCCGGUUGUGGAUAAAAAAAACUUAUGCUGAAUCAUUGCGUCUCCAGACGAGCAGUGCAGAUUUGAGAGUUAGGUUAUUUGUCAAAAGUUUUCCGUUUUAUCCAUACAAUAGUAAAAUUAGUUUUACAUAAUUUGAAUGUGUGCUCGCAUGAGCUUGUAAACUUCUCUCGUGUGUCCACACAAGGGCGGAGGGAAGAUUCUUUCUGUGAAGAAACCUAUUUUGUAUGAAGUUGUAGUUGAUUUUGUCGGACUGGGAAGUGAUGGAUGCACCAAGUAGGUGGUCUUUAUUUCUGGGAUUAGAAUUUUCAAAAGGACUGUUUCUUCUCACCUUGAUCUUGUGAUCUAAUGAAAUUUAUUCCUGAUUUUUAUCAGGGACACAACAGUGAAGAUGUUUUUGAAUUUCGUGUUGUAGCUAAAUGGUGAAGUUUUCAUGAAUUCAUGUUAUGAAUUGGUUCUCACUUUUUUUAUCAUAACCUUUUAUUAUCUCAUGAUUUAUUGAUUUUUUUGUUUUUUCUAUUGAUAUUUCUGUUUGCAAAACGAUUAUUAGAUAUUGGAGAAUUAACGAGGUAUGGCUACUGCCAAGCAUGCUUUCAGAAGUACACGACUCAAGAGAUUUUCUAUUUUGGCAGAAGUUGGUGUGCCUACUGACAAGUGUGCUCUGAAAAUUAGUCAAUUACUGCACCAGCUGGACUUAUAGAUCGGUUCACAAGGUUCUUUCUGGACAGUAGUAAUGGUUUUAAUACAUUUAAAACAUGUAUGGUUAUUUGAUUCAUGAACAAAACAAAUAUAUUCUCUUUUGAGCUUUGAGCAUUUCACAUAUGACCAUUGUACUGUUGCACUAUUACUACGACCUAUGUGAAAGGUAAAUAAACCUUUCAGCAACAUAUGUUGGUAUAAUUCUCUCCCAACUAGCAUUAUAUGCCAUAUAUAGUUGUUGUUUUUUACCGAAAUGUUAGGAGCCUCGUGUAUAAGGUAUGCAGAAAUUCUCACUUUGGGGAAGUGAUUAAUUCUUCAUGUGCAGUAACCUGGAGAGAUGGUGCUGGUGGAUUCUAGCCGCAAGUCGAAGACAUGCAGUUGCUUGCCGUCGAUGAAGCGACAUCAACAUGGGUAGCUGAUCCAGUCAUCUGUUAGUCUGUUCGUCUUUCUUCCUUGCACUUUGUUCUUCAGUCAUGUGUUGGGCAUCCUUCCCCAUGCUACUGACUCUAUGGUGUCGCUGGCCCAUGCUUCUGACUCUCCAGACAUAUACUCACUUGUUAGAAAUCCCAUGGCAAUUGCUUUCAUGUGAAUUUUGGCCCUUGUCCAGAUGGAGGACUUGGCUUCUUCAGUGAGGAUAAUUCAAUACUACACUUUGAUUCAAUAGAGUGCGAGCUUCAUUCGGGUUUAAGUGCGUUGCUGCUGGUCGCCUCUUGUGAUUGUGUACAGCUUGCUUCUGACAUAGCCAAGAUUAAAGGAGAGGGGAGUCAUUGCUGAUGGCUUGGAACUUUUUGGUGCAUCAUGCUAUGCGACUAAGGUCACCCUGACAGACACUUGGUGAGAUGUUUGAAGCUGCUCAUAGUAUCAUGACCUAGCUUGGAGACUGUGCCAAGGCUGAAGUUUUCUUUCUUGGGCAACUAAGGCAGAAGAACCUGGUGAAAUUGGUUGGGUAGUGCUACGAGCAUGAACACCGGAUGUUGGUGUACAAAUUCAUGAGCGUUGGGAGCCUUGAGACGCACCUCUUCAAAACUUCUUGGUACUUGUAAGUUAGUACAACUCUUGGUCAAUGUGGAUGAGGAAACUGACCUGAAACAUCCUAUUUCCUUCACGUAUAAAUGGCUCCCUCCUGCGGAUGAUAAGGAUGAAGAUCGCCGUCAGCCCAAGGGCCUUAACUUUCUCCAUGACGCCAACCUGCCGGUGAUCUACAAGCAGGCCUUCAACAUCUACUGGACUAGGGUCAGUUUGAGCCUUCACGAGCUCGACAUCGGAGCCAGCACUCUACAUGCUUAUCGACGCGGUGGCCAUCGAGGUCAAACUUGUCCGGAAAUACUUGUCGGAGUAAUGGAUGUAUCUAUACGCAUUUUAGUUUUAGACACAUCCAUUUUUAUGCAUUUCUUCGACAUGUACUGUGAUUUGUGAAGACGUGCGUUGCACGUACACGCUAACUAGUCAAUGUAAGUAGCAUGGCGACAACUUUUCCCUCCAAAAAUAUUUGGAAUGAAAUCGAACUAUAGUCUGAAUCAAA